rnacentral:rRNA from 1 species
AACGCGAAGAACCUUACCAACCUUUGACAUCCUGAUCGCGGGCACCAGAGAUGGAGCCUUUCAGUUCGGCUGGAUCAGAGACAGGUGCUGCAUGGCUGUCGUCAGCUCGUGUCGUGAGAUGUUGGGUUAAGUCCCGCAACGAGCGCAACCCUCGCCCUUAGUUGCCAUCAUUUAGUUGGGCACUCUAAGGGGACUGCCGGUGAUAAGCCGCGAGGAAGGUGGGGAUGACGUCAAGUCCUCAUGGCCCUUACAGGUUGGGCUACACACGUGCUACAAUGGCGGUGACAAUGGGAUGCAAUGGAGCAAUCCUGCGCAAAUCUCAAAAAGCCGUCUCAGUUCGGAUUGUGCUCUGCAACUCGAGCACAUGAAGUUGGAAUCGCUAGUAAUCGCAGAUCAGCACGCUGCGUGAAUACGUCCCGGCCUUGUACACACCGAGACGUA